CCUACGGGCGGCAGCAGUGAGGAAUAUUGGUCAAUGGGCGCGAGCCUGAACCAGCCAAGUCGCGUGAAGGAUGACUGCCCUACGGGUUGUAAACUUCUUUUAUACAGGAAUAAAGUGAGGCACGUGUGCCUUUUUGUAUGUACUUUAUGAAUAAGGAUCGGCUAACUCCGUGCCAGCAGCCGCGGUAAUACGGAGGAUCCGAGCGUUAUCCGGCUUUAUUGGGUUUAAAGGGAGCGUAGAUGGGUUGUUAAGUCAGUUGUGAAAGUUUGCUGCUCAACCGUAAAAGUGCAAUUGAUACUGGCAGCCUUGAGUACAGUUGAGGUAGGCGGAAUGCGUGGUGUAGCGGUGAAAUGCAUAGAUAUCACGAAGAACUCCGAUUGCGAAGGCAGCUUACUAAACUGCCACUGACAUUGAUGCUCGAAAGUGUGGGUAUCAAACAGGAUUAGAUACCCCGGUAGUC
rnacentral:rRNA from 1 species